GGGGAAUCUUCCGCAAUGGGCGAAAGCCUGACGGAGCAACGCCGCGUGAGUGAUGACGGUCUUCGGAUUGUAAAGCUCUGUCUUUUGGGACGAUAAUGACGGUACCAAAGGAGGAAGCCACGGCUAACUACGUGCCAGCAGCCGCGGUAAUACGUAGGUGGCAAGCGUUGUCCGGAUUUACUGGGCGUAAAGGAUGUGUAGGCGGAUACUUAAGUGAGAUGUGAAAGCCCCGGGCUCAACCUGGGGACUGCAUUUCAAACUGGGUAUCUAGAGUGCAGGAGAGGAAAGCGGAAUUCCUAGUGUAGCGGUGAAAUGCGUAGAGAUUAGGAAGAACAUCAGUGGCGAAGGCGGCUUUCUGGACUGUAACUGACGCUGAGGCAUGAAAGCGUGGGGAGCAAAC
rnacentral:rRNA from 1 species